rnacentral:rRNA from 1 species
AACGAACGCUGGCGGCAUGCCUAACACAUGCCGGUCGAACGAGACCUUCGGGUCUAGUGGCGCACGGGUGCGUAACGCGUGGGAACCUGCCCUUAGGUUCGGAAUAACUCCCCGAAAGGGGUGCUAAUACCGGAUAAUUUCUUCGGACCAAAGAUUUAUCGCCGUUGGAUGGGCCCGCGUUGGAUUAGCUAGUUGGUAGGGUAAAAGCCUACGAAGGCGACGAUCCAUAGCUGGUCUGAGAGGAUGAGCAGCCACACUGGGACUGAGACACGGCCCAGACUACUACGGGAGGGAGCAGUGGGGAAUAUUGGACAAUGGGCGAAAGCCUGAUCCAGCACGGCCGCGUGAGUGAUGAAGUCCUUAGGGUUGUAAAGCUCUUUUACCCGGGAUGAUAAUGACAGUACCGGGAGAAUAAGCACCGGCUAACUCCGUG